CAAUGAWAAUGAUGAAGAAAAUGAUUAUCUUCCACUGAAUAAUUUUAUUACGCAUUAUGAACAAGAUAACAUUUUAAUUUAUUAUAGAUCACCGUUAGAAUAUUGUAGAAGGUUCGCAUGUCCGGCACCGCUACAAUAAUGUACAAAUCUCAAGUAUUAGAUUUAAUUGCGUAUUUGGUUUAUUAUUGAAAAAGCUAUAAUUGUUAACCUUGUUAUAAUACACGGGUAUAAAUCACAAGUAAUUUAAUAGAACCGUUUAUAAUUAAACUUUUCAUUGAAACUAUGUAAUAUGAUUAUGUUUUAUUUUUAGAUAUAUUUACUAGUUACUACUCCAUCUUAUUAUUGCAUAAAUACAUUUUAUUAUU